AGAUGAGGAUGGUCAUUGUCAUUUUCUCAGCUGUGAACGGGCAGAAAGCUACACAAGGACAUGAUGACGGUCAUUGUCAUUUUCUGAGCUGCGAACGGGCAGAAAGCUACACAAGGACACGAUGACAGUCAUUGUCAUUUGCUGAGCUGCGAACGGGCAGAAAGCUACACAAGGAGAUGAGGAUGGUCAUUGUCAUUUUUUGAGCUGCGAACGGGCAGAAAG